rnacentral:rRNA from 1 species
UACAGAGGUCCCGAGCGUUGUUCGGAUUCAUUGGGCGUAAAGGGUGCGUAGGCGGUCUGCUAAGUUUGGUGUGAAAUCCCGGGGCUCAACCCUGGAAUUGCAUUGAAUACUGGUGGACUAGAGUACUGGAGAGGAAACUGGAAUUUACGGUGUAGCAGUGAAAUGCGUAGAGAUCGUAAGGAAGACCAGUGGCGAAGGCGAGUUUCUGGACAGUAACUGACGCUGAGGCGCGAAAGCAUGGGGAGCGAACGGG